AUUAGUACUAUACUAUAACAGGACUGUUACCAAGAGGUUCCACACUAAUAGGACAACAGCAUUAGUACUAUACUAUAACAGUACUGUUACCAAGAGGUUCCACACUAA